CGUUGAUCAGCAUGUCAGCCUGCCAGUGACAUAGUUAAACGGCCGCGGUACCCUGACCGUGCGAAGGUAGCAUAAUCACUUGUUCCUUAAAUAGGGACUUGUAUGAUAGGCAUCACGAGGGCUUUACUGUCUCCUUUCUCCAAUCAGUGAAACUGAUCUCCCCGUGAAGAAGCGGGGAUAUAAUUAUAAGACGAGAAGACCCUAUGGAGA
rnacentral:rRNA from 1 species